rnacentral:misc_RNA from 1 species
GAUGAAGAACGCAGCGAAAUGCGAUAAGUAAUGCGAAUUGCAGAAUUCAGUGAGUCAUCGAAUCUUUGAACGCACAUUGCGCCCUGUGGUAUUCCGCAGGGCAUGCCUGUUCGAGCGUCAUUUCAACCCUCAAGCUCUGCUUGGUGUUGGGCCCUGCCCGCUGCGGCCGGCCCUAAAGACAGUGGCGGUGCCGCCUGGCCCUGAGCGUAGUACAUUUCUCGCUCCAGUGCCCGGUGGUAGCCUGCCAGAACCCCAACUCUCGUGGUUGACCUCGGAUCAGGUAGGGAUACCCGCUGAACUUAAGCAUAUCAAUAAGCGGAGGA